UAGCAGCUUCACAGAGCAGAACCACUGUCUUCUCUGAUCCAUCCUGCUGUGAACUGAAAAGCACUGGUGUGAAAACCAUCACUCUCAUCUUCACAGCAGCUUUGCAUGAGGUGAACCAGAUCUGCAGUGAUCUAACGAGGCUGUGAUUGAAGGAAACCUCCUGUCCCCUCCUCUUGGCAGCCUCCAAGAGCACUGCUGCUGCCUGAGCUGUGCUCCAGACGAGCCAGAAGCAAAAGAGACUUUAGGCUGAGGAGCAGAAUGGGAACUUGCUGUGAGUGCAGCUGAGCUGCCACAGACAGUGAGUGAAUGGACAAAACAGAGAACUGCACCGGGGCUACAGCUGCCCUGCACAAACCCUGGCAUGCUGAUGUGGACCUAAAGCUGUUGUAGAAGAGGAAAGUGCUUUUUUAGCUCUGCUUCAGGCCUGGAAGGGCUUCUUUUCAGGCAGUGGGAGAAGAGAAAAGCAAGCCCUUCAUUAACGUGCUAAAGACCACUUUAGUGGUAAAGAAAGACCAGCAGAAGAAAUGGGGUGAGCUGGAUCUGGACUAACUGAGAUGGGAAGCUCAGGUGCUUGUAUCAGGAUCCAGACCAGCAGUGAGGAAAUGGAAGCAGAGAGCCCUUUCUAAAGGAAAAUGCCCUGAACCCUGGAAAAGACCUGAUUGCAGUACUGUUUUGAGGCAGGAUUUCUCUCCACCCUUAUGCAUGAGGCUGCACAAACACAAGGAGAAGGGUUUCUCUGGUCUUCCAAGAAAGCCCUAGCUUCCCCUUUCUUCUUCUGGGGAUGGAGCUGACCUCCUUCUGCCCUUGUCCCUGUGAACAGCGUGUUAUUUCCAGCAGCAGCCAGGAGUUUUGGAGCAAGAAAAUGGAAAUUUUCCUGUGCUGGUGGUUAGUGCACUCAGGAGGGGGGUUUGAAGCCCCUCUGAAGAGCAGAGUUCCUGUGCCCUCAGUGACUGCCUGGGCUCACAGGCAUCACCAGACACAGCUCACUGUCUAUGCCCUGGGUGCACUGUCCAAGAACUCACCUUUGCUCUCUUUUAAUUGUAUUAUCCACAAAACAAAGCAAAACUGAGGGGUUUGAGGUUGAAGCACCAUCCCUGCUCUAGAAACAGCAAAGCAGAGCAGGGAUGAUGAGGCACAAAGCUCCUGCUGUCCCCUCUGGCUGAGGGGCUGGCUGCCAUGCAGGGAGCUGUGGGAAGCAGAGCUCAUUCUCCCCCACCCCAAAGACCAAGACUGCCACUUUCAGCUCCAAAACCUUCAGAACACUUUCUGGGUCUCAGCCCUUAAAGGCAGUCCUCACAGGUUCUCCCACCUGACCUCAUCCCAGAGUUUUGUCCUGCCUUCCUCUGGCUGCUGCAGCCCCGGCCUGGGGCGCGGCCUGGUCACCACAGCCUGACCUG